UUCGCCUGGGAAUUACGAGCAUAAGCUUAAAACCCAAAGGACUUGGCGGUGCUUUAGACCCAUCUAGAGGAGCCUGUUCUACAACCGAUAACCCCCGUUCAACCUCACCUUUUCUUGUUUUUUCCGCCUAUAUACCACCGUCGUCAGCUUACCCUGUGAAGGCUUACUAGUAAGCAAAACUGAUACUAUCCAGAACGCCAGGUCGAGGUGUAGUACAUGAAAAGGAAAGAAAUGGGCUACAUUUUCUAACUAAGAAAAUAACGAAAAUUGCAUGAAAUAGCAUACUAAAGGAGGAUUUAGCAGUAAGUAAGGAAUAGAGAGCCCU
rnacentral:rRNA from 1 species